rnacentral:rRNA from 1 species
GAUGAACGCUGGCGGCGUGCCUAAUACAUGCAAGUCGAGCGAACAGAUAAGGAGCUUGCUCCUUUGACGUUAGCGGCGGACGGGUGAGUAACACGUGGGUAACCUACCUAUAAGACUGGAAUAACUCCGGGAAACCGGGGCUAAUGCCGGAUAACAUUUAGAACCGCAUGGUUCUAAAGUGAAAGAUGGUUUUGCUAUCACUUAUAGAUGGACCCGCGCCGUAUUAGCUAGUUGGUAAGGUAACGGCUUACCAAGGCAACGAUACGUAGCCGACCUGAGAGGGUGAUCGGCCACACUGGAACUGAGACACGGUCCAGACUCCUACGGGAGGCAGCAGUAGGGAAUCUUCCGCAAUGGGCGAAAGCCUGACGGAGCAACGCCGCGUGAGUGAUGAAGGUCUUCGGAUCCUAAAACUCUGUUAUUAGGGAAGAACAAAUGUGUAAGUAACUGUGAACGUCUUGACGGUACCUAAUCAGAAAGCCACGGCUAACUACGUG